GAAAGAACUGACAAAAAGCUACAAUUUGAUGUUAAUUUUGUUAUUGUGGAAUCAAAAUGUCCGUCCAACAAGCUAAAUUGUAGAGGGUAUGCGAUCCCCUCCACGCACAAGUCGACAAGUGGGCGUUGUUCUGAACAUGAACAAUGAUCGCUUCUUGGCUGAAUGAAGAGCUCUUGUUGAGGGAUCCUUCAGGGCCAAACAUCCAGCUCAGAUCAUGUUCUUCGGCGACGUGGUUUCCGAUGGGAGCAAGAUACUUGCCUACUUCUUCAAAGCCAACGAGAAAUUCAACACUCACGUCUACUACAAGGUCCUCAGGUACCAUGUCUUGCCAUUGUUGAAGAGCACGUUUCCAAGGGACAACUAUGUGUUUACCCUGUUGUGUAUGUUAAAAGGUUAUCCUUCCCUUUUAAUCUCCACCUCUUCUUCUUAUUAUUAUGAUUAUUUAAGAUGUAUGUAAAGUCCUGUUUGAUCUUUUAUUAGUAUAAAUAGCUUGUAUGGAUUAUGAUUGUCAGAGUAAUAUUGAUUAAUGUUUCUAAUAAGAAUAUAAAUGUGUUCCUAUUAAAUCCAACCCUUGUAGUAUUCCUCCACGUCUUCCCUUGGUUCUCUCGGUCGUCCUGGAUUCCAGGUACUAAAUAGAUUGUGUUUCUCAACUUCAUCAUAGACACAACAUACCUAAGACGGCGCCCCGGCACACACGCCUAAGAAGGUGCAGCAUUUCUGCAGGAAGAACAUAGAUACCUUCUGGACGGUAGAUUCUUGCCUACGUCCUUACCGGACGUGAACUCCCUGGACUUUACUGUUUGGUGUGUCUUGCAGGGCAAGAUGAACAAGACUUCUCACUCGAAUGUCGAAGCCCGCCAUCACGGAGGAGUGAAAAAACUUGUCCUCGGACUUCAUCAAGACCAGCUAUGCUCAUCUUCUUCCCCGUAUUGAAGCCAUCAUUCAGAAUGGAGGAGGACAUUUUGAAUAAAAGUCAUCACCCUGUAUAUGAAAAAUUCCCGGAAGGAAACAUCCUAGAACCCUUUAGUAGAUCAUAUGAAAUUCAUAGUUCACCGGAAUAAAUUGUACCAAAAAUGUUCAUCUCUUAGAAACAAUAUCUACCAAUUUUUUAAAUCAUUUUUUAUUUUUGUUCAUUUAGUUUUUAAUAUUUGACUUACAUUUUACUCGCGUAAGACAUUGUAUUGUAAGACCAGGCUUGAAGAUUGAGUGGGAAAAUCGCCCAUUUCAACGACCCAUAUCUAUUUUUUUAAGAAACAAUUUAAAACAUCAUUGUUAAAACUAAGGUUGAGAAAAGUAAAUCAGUAUUGAUUGAAAUAUUGUUUAAUUUAGGCUGAAAUUUCAUUAUGAAUUUCAACCGGAGUCAUUCUCCAUCAUCAAAUAAACAAAGGUUUUCACCUGAACAACUCUGAAUUUGACAAAAUUUAGAAUACAAUAUGUAGAUUUGUACCUGCAAACUUUAAAUAUAUUUUUUUAUUUUUCCAA
rnacentral:lncRNA from 1 species